CAGCAAAGGUCAGUAUCCACAAAGCCUUUUUUUCAACUUUUGACCUCGGAUCAGGUAGGGAUACCC
rnacentral:rRNA from 1 species